rnacentral:lncRNA from 1 species
GACUGCUGAAGCUUGAAGAGAGCAGACAUGAUUUUUGUAACGCUGCAAAGACAGAAAUAAAGGAAUGUAAAUACGUUUCUGUCUAUCUCUCUCCCUGCCCAGGGGGCAGGAAAGAGGAGGUGUGUUCUUCUCACGCUGAGGAGGAUCGCCUAUCGCGACCUAGCCUGGAUCCUGCCGGGAAUGCAGACAGGGAGGUCAACAGGAGAUCAAGCCGGGUGCCUGGAGAGUGGCCAGUUUCUCCUGAUAAAGGCUUGAAUCCCAACAUAUGGUAGCACGGAGCCGAUGGUUUUGAUCCAUGAAAGCAACAAGAGAGGUUGAUGGAUCGUACUUCAUCCUCUGCAAGGAGAUAAAGAAAGAAUGUGGUAGCGGGCGGAUGGAAGCUACAAGGACGGCUGAGCCGUGAGGAGGUGUUUUUGCAAAAGCAACGGAUUCCCUCAAGGUAUGGUGAUUUUAUGGCUGUGAGAGUGAACGCGAAUUGAAGCAUUCUUCGGUUCACUGAGUGUCUGCUUUUGGAUGAAACCAGCACUGAGAGAAAUAGCCUGCAUAUUUCGCAUUCCUGGGGUUGAUAAGGGUUGCUGCUCAAGCCUGGAAUGUCCAGUUGCUAAGCAACGAAACGUCAGUAAAGUGGAAAGUUACUGGCCAACACGGAAGUAAGGCUGAGCACUGUGAGAGACUGGAAAAACACUGAGAAAACAGAGUUUGUUUUGUCUAUUAUCUCACUGCUCUUGGAGGGACUUUCAAAACAGCCUGUGUUUAGCUGCCAAGUGUGAGGCAGUAAACAGCCAAUAGACUUUUGGAGUUUACAGGCUCGAGAGUGAGAGCUGAGGCUUGGAUUCAAAAUGGAUACCAAGAAGGGGGGAGGCUUACCUUACCCACCUCCACUGACUAAUGACAAUUAUUCCUCAUGGUCUGUAAAGAUGAAAGCCCUGCUUCAGAAUCAGAGGAUUUGUGGGGUGAUUGAUAACCCCAUCCCUGCUGCACCAACGCCAGGUUGGAAUUCACAGAAUGUGAGAGCCAGGACGGCCAUAAUUCUGUGUAUCUCGGAUGAUCAGCUCGUGCAUAUUCAGGAUUUGGAAUACGCGUGUGAGAUUUGGCAAACGCUGCGUAGAAUACAUCAAAGAGAUGCUGGUUCUUCAGCGUUGCUGCAUUUUGAAAAGCUAACCAAUCUGAGGCUAGCGCCUGAUGGAGAUGUGCAAGCGCAUUUGACAGAGAUGAAAUUCUUACGCCAGCAGAUGGCGGAACGCAAUUUCCCUCUACAGGAAGAGAUAUUCUGCUUCAUGAUUAUUAACAGCCUUAAUCGGACUUACAAAACGGUUGCAAGUCAGCUUGGUUCUCUACCUGCCGCAGAUCUUUCGACGGAAAGAAUUUGUGCCGUGAUUCUCAAUGAGAAAGACAGACUUGCUGCAAUAGAUGUCAAAGACAGGGAGAGAAGCUCGGAGUUCUGACACCCCGCUGCUAUUGCUAGUGAAGAACAGGCUGUUGCUUUGAACGUUGUCCGUUGUUUCAAUUGUGGACAGACUGGGCAUCUUCAGUGGAAUUGUAGAAGCCACGUCAACAGAAAGGAGCUAAGGGGAGCUCUGCGAAGCCUGAGGCAUCAGGCAAAAGUCGUACCAAGUCCCAGGUGAAACCUGCAAAGGCAUUGCUGUCAACAAAAGCCGCAUUUUCAACGGAGAACGCUUUUAUUUUGGACACUGGAGCGACGCAACACAUGACGUCUCGGCGAGAUCUGUUUUCAACGUUUAAGAAGCAAAGCUUCACUGUGAAACAAGCCAACGGUCAGGAGCUGGAAGCGACCGGGUUUGGAACUGUGUAUCUUGAGAGUCUGAACUUGACUAUAAACAAUGUGUAUUUGGUUCCUGAUUUAAAGUUCAAUCUGCUGAGUGUUUCGCAGAUCACAAAGAAAGGACUGACUUUGUCCUAUGAUAGAGAAAGCUGCAAAAUCUUCAUUUUUUUUUUUAUAAGAUAUUUAUUGGUUUUACAAGAAAAAAUUCCAAAAAAUACAGAAUAACAAAAAUUCAACAAACAAAAAGACAACAAUGACAGAAAACAAACAGAAAUGACAAUAUCCAUAGC